rnacentral:rRNA from 1 species
AACGAACGCUGGCGGCAGGCCUAACACAUGCAAGUCGAACGCCGUAGCAAUACGGAGUGGCAGACGGGUGAGUAACACGUGGGAACGUACCCUUCGGUUCGGAAUAACUCAGGGAAACUUGAGCUAAUACCGGAUACGUCCGAGAGGAGAAAGAUUUAUCGCCGAGGGAUCGGCCCGCGUCUGAUUAGCUUGUUGGUGAGGUAACGGCUCACCAAGGCGACGAUCAGUAGCUGGUCNGAGAGGAUGAUCAGCCACAUUGGGACUGAGACACGGCCCAAACUCCUACGGGAGGCAGCAGUGGGGAAUAUUGGACAAUGGGCGCAAGCCUGAUCCAGCCAUGCCGCGUGAGUGAUGAAGGCCCUAGGGUUGUAAAGCUCUUUUACCCGGGAAGAUAAUGACUGUACCGGGAGAAUAAGCCCCGGCUAACUUCGUGCCAGCAGCCGCGGU